rnacentral:rRNA from 1 species
UACGUAGGGGGCGAGCGUUUGUCCGAAGUUACUGGGCGUAAAGCGCGCGAGGCGGGUCGUUAAGUGGGAAGUGAAAGGCUGGGGCUCAACCCCAUGCAGUGCUUCUCAUACUGGCGGUCUGAGUGAGGUAGGGAGAAGUGGAAUGGCUGGUGUAGCGGUGAAAUGCGUAGAUAUCGGGAGGAACACCGGUGGCGAAGGCGGUUCUCUGGGCCGUUACCUGACGCUGAGGAGCGAAAGCGUGGGGAGCGAAC